rnacentral:rRNA from 1 species
AUUGAACGCUGGCGGCAGGCCUAACACAUGCAAGUCGAACGGUAACAGGAAGCAGCUUGCUGCUUCGCUGACGAGUGGCGGACGGGUGAGAAAUGUCUGGGAAGCUGCCUGAUGGAGUGGGAUAACUACUGGAAACGGUAGCUAAUACCGCAUAAUUUCUCAAGACCAAAGAGGGGGACCUUCGGGCCGCUUUCCUUCCGCUGUGCCCAGAUGGGAUUAGCUUGUUGGUGGGGUAACGGCUCACCAAGGCGACGAUCCCUAGCUGGUCUGAGAGGAUGACCAGCCACACUGGAACUGAGACACGGUCCAGACUCCUACGGGAGGCAGCAGUGGGGAAUAUUGCGCAAUGGGCGCAAGCCUGAUGCAGCCAUGCCGCGUGUAUGAAGAAGGCCUUCGGGUUGUAAAGUACUUUCAGCGGGGAGGAAGGGAGUAAAGUUAAUACCUUUGCUCAUUGACGUUACCCGCAGAAGAAGCACCGGCUAACUCCGUG